UCUGCCUCCUAGAGGGUUGAAAUCACAAAGAAUUGUACUUAAAUAAGCUUGUUCAGAAAGCAUCAAAGAUGAAGAAUCCAUCACCUUUUGAAAAGCUUCACGAAUCACUUUUGGGAAUUCAGGCUUUUUUGAUGGAAAUGCCUGGAUUUUCUUGGAAACAGGGAUUUUAUUGUGGAUUCCUGGUGCCCCUUGGAGAGGCUUAUUUUUCUGGACAAUAGUUUUCCUUAGUGUCACUACGCUUUUCAUCUCCCAAUGAUCACAAGCUCCCAAGGUCGAGAAAAGUGCAUCCUUUUGUUCUAAUGAGGCUGAAAUUCCAUUUUAAAACGUCUGCAAAAGGGACUCUUGGUUGAGAACGGAAGGCAUCGUUCCACGGCCCGCCGUGUCCAGCGGGGUGAGCCUUCCAGACAUGUGAAGAGAAAAGAAAAUCCAGCCCAACGUCAAAGAAUCGAACAGCAGUGUUCAGAGGUUGCUUAUCGCCACUCAAGGAUCUUUCAUCAUCUGUGCUUGAAAGUGUGUCAUACAACAUAGGCCUGCUUGCCUUUGUUCGAAGAAUGGGACUCCGUAAACGGGCAUAAAGAAGUAACUCACCACUGCCUGCGGCUCUAAGAGGAAUGCUCAUGGUGUGAAAUGUUUCUCUUGCUCCGGACAGACCCUCUCGUCCUCAUUAGAGCCUGGGCAUUAAAGGGUCCUGGGAGUGCUUCUCGUAGGGGGCUGUGUGAUUUCCACUGGGAACGCAAUCUCUCGGGCAAAGGGGAAUAACCAUUUUCAGUUAAAAGCUGCACCACUAGCCAAUAGCUACGUGCGGCUGGUUUAUGCUGACAACUUCAUUAAUGAAAUGUAAACACCCCCGGAAAAUGCAGUUCCUCGGGCUCACUAGCCACAUUUCACUGACUCCAGAGCUCUUAAUACCUGGCAGCUGAAAACACUGAUGGUGUAGCUUGCCGUCCACAGAAGCCCUUCUCCCCCGUCACAACAUGGAGAAAUUCACUGGGCCUAAAUGUGGUGUGAUUAUUACAAUUCUGAACAUUUCCCUCAAGGGUUGUCACUCGAAGCUAUAAUUAAGGAGUUCCUGUUGUGGUGCCGUGGAAAUGAAUCCGACCAGUAUCCAUGACAAUGUGGGUUCGAUCCCUGGCCUUGCUCAGUGGGUUAAGGAUCUGGUGUUGCCAUGAUCUGUGGUGUAGGUCGAAGAUGAGGCACAGAUCCUGCAUUCCUGCGGCU
rnacentral:lncRNA from 1 species